UGCAAGAUUUGCAGUAAACCACUCCCCUUACGCCUACAAACAUCCUCAUCGGAGGUGGAGUUGGUGGUUUAACUGGCGGAUAUGGUUUUACUGGAGGCUUAACUGGCGGAGAUGGUUUUACUGGUGGCUUAACUGGCGGAGAUGGUUUUACUGGUGGCUUAACUGGCGGAGAUGGUGGUUUACUAGGAGAAUGUGCUGGUGGAGUUGGCGGUUUAACUGGUGGAGAUGGUUUUACUGGUGGUUUAACUGGCGGAGAUGGUGGUUUGCUAGGAGAAUGUGCUGGUGGAGUUGGCGGUUUAACUGGUGGUUUAACUGGCGGAGAUGGAGGUUUACUAGGAGAAUGUGCAGGUGGAUACGGUGGUUUAACUGGUGGAGAUGGUGGUGGUGAAGAGUGAGAAGGAGGAGGAGCAGGGGCUGGAGAGUGCUUGUGGUGGUGGUGGUGGUGGUGGUGGCCACCUUUAUGAGGCUUAGGGGCUUCAACAG
rnacentral:lncRNA from 1 species